rnacentral:rRNA from 1 species
UACGAAGGGGGCUAGCGUUGUUCGGAAUUACUGGGCGUAAAGCGCACGUAGGCGGAUCGAUCAGUUAGGGGUGAAAUCCCAGGGCUCAACCCUGGAACUGCCUUUGAUACUGUCGAUCUGGAGUAUGGAAGAGGUGAGUGGAAUUCCGAGUGUAGAGGUGAAAUUCGUAGAUAUUCGGAGGAACACCAGUGGCGAAGGCGGCUCACUGGUCCAUUACUGACGCUGAGGUGCGAAAGCGUGGGGAGCAAACAGG